ACAACAUCCACUGCCACUGAAGAAGUUGGUCUAUUCUGAGGUGGCCAUGAUGGAAGGAAGCCCAAGCUAGCCAAAGGAAGAAGCCAUGUAGAGACAGAGUGCAAUGUCAACUACCCUCCAGCUAUUCCAGUUUUCUCAGCCUUGGUGCUAGUCAUUUAAGCCAUGACCUGAUGAUACGUCCAACAGUUUGCCUAUCAGACAGCUCUGCCAACCUGCAAGUUCCAGAAAGGCAAGCGCAGCGUGUUAUCCACAUCUUCAGCAAUACGUGGUAAUAUGGUAAAAUACUUUGGAGGAACUGGAUGCAUUUUUCCUCUGGUCUCCAGAGAAGAAACUGAGACAACAGUAAGUUACAGAUUCAAGCUGUGUUCAUAAUGUGUUUCCACGUGGAGGUCACACUGUCAUGUUCACGGGCAGAUGAAUUCUAACACCAAACACCAGGCUGAAUAGGUGUUCCCAUUGCAAGAGAAGCGCUGUGCACGAUUUUUAUUCGUAUUUCAAAACCCUAACAAAUGGCCACAAUCAACUACUACAAAUUUCUCCUGAUUAGUUUUAGUCUGCCCUUCUGUCACCUUUAGGAGAGAGCCAGAGAUUUCAACCUGCAAAAUUACCAGCAAUGCACGUCAGAAAGCAUUUCAAAGAAGAGUCAAAGUGCGUGUGGAAACUAAUUGCUGUAUCUGAAAGUGCUGUUUGAAGAGUUUUUCAGUCUUCAGAGAAGCAAGUCCCCACCCCUUGGGAAAACUAGUCUUCAAACUAAAAGUUUCCCCAAAUCAUAUACCUGAGAAAAAUGUUAAAACAGACUUACCCACAAAGGCAAAUAAAUAAAACUGUAAGAAUAAAUAAAUCAGAAAUCAGAUGUCUCUCCCCUGUUUAAAAUCCUCCAACAGCUUCCUACUUUAUUUGGAAUAAAACGCAAUUCCUUUACCA